AGUUCAGCUAAUGUAAUUUUAUGAAAAAACUACGAAGCAUUUAAACCGUUGAAAUUUAGGGUUAAAGCUAGGGUUUUAGUGUUUCUUUCUAUCCGAGACUCUGUCACAACUAAUUUCAUUAGAUGGGUUUUGUUGGAGCCAAGCUCAAGACAGAGCAGCAUCCAUGGCGGCCACCUUACCACAAACUAAUGUAAAACCAUAUAAUCGCUAGGUAUGUGAAGAUGUCGUGGUAAAACUAUUGAGUGAUUCAGAUAUGUCUGAAGCUGUCCUUAAAGAUUUCCGAAGUGCGCCGGAAUCUUUAGCCCAGUCCUUAAUCUUUAGCGAGCCAGGGAAGUUGUCAUUUGAUUCCUUCAUUUGAUUUCUCAAUGAGGCUAUUGUCAUAGUUACUCUGACAGUCUUUUGAGAAAGCAACUUGGUUUUUUUGGCAAAUGGCAAAUUGUCAGCUGCACUUGCAGAUAAGUGCUUGAAGAAGUCAGUAUUUUCAUUUUGUUUUUGUUUUUGUUUUUGGGUUUUAUGUAUUUUUGUUUAAAGCCUUGUCAAAUUUGAAACUUAUGAUUUCGUUUCUUAUGUUGAAGAGAUUGGAAUCCCAAUGAUUCAGAUUUUUCUGUUGUCAUUUAUGUUUCUUUUUGUUUUUGCAGAGUCUGGUAUCUGGUGAUGGAUUAAGUGUAUUAGCUAUGUGCAAGAUUGUUUCUUGUCUUUUGAAAAUGUCAUCUACACAAAAAGAAAAAAUAGAAUAUUUAAUUAACAAUGUUUAUAAAACCUUAUACUUAACCAUAUGCGAAUUGGUUGUUAUUGGGUUUACCCCACAUUGAUAAGAAUUGAGGACAAAGUCAUAUUUUUAUCUAAAAAGGAGAAUUUUAUACCAUAUGCAAUUUCGUUGAUAUCCAUCAAAACUUCUCUAUAUGAUAUAAUCUUUGUGCAGGGGUCAGCUUCAGUAUUUAUUUAAUUGGAUUCCAAUCUCUUCCGCAAGAAGCACCUGCGGCUAUAUGUUUAUUACGUACAUAUAUCUUAUUACUUUUUAAAUUGCAUUAUCAUAUCCAUUCUGAUCUCUGUAAAAAUAUCAGAGCCCAUUCAAAAUCUCACCUUUUCCACUAUUUUAUUUCAACAUAAUAUAAGUAUCCAAAUAAUAUAUAAUAUAAUAUAGUCUUAUUGUCACCUUUUUUAUAAGGAAAAAUGAAGGGUCUUUUAAAGGGACAUGUCUAUUCUGGUUCCAAAACGGCAUUGCGGAUUGACUAACACGUGUUAGUCGCGCGUUUUACACCAUUGACUAACCUAUCGCUAACAAGCUGUACAAACUCUUUUUUUCAUAGAAAAUUGAUAAAUGGAUGAAGCCUGACC